rnacentral:lncRNA from 1 species
UUGUUAUUUACUCUUGUUAGUAGUUCUAUGAUUGGUCGUUGUGUUAUUUUUGUUAUCUACUUUUGUUAGUAGUUCUAUGAUUGGUCGUUGUGUUGAGUUUGCUGCAUCAUUGAAGUGUUAUUACUGCUUACAAUUUCUUUUGCGUGUUGUUCUAUCCUUUUUGGUGCAACAUUUCCUAAUAAAGUGUUGUCAGUUUUGUAUUCACUGAAAUCAUGCAUUGUAUAUUCGGUUUUUAGGGUACGGUGCAUCUUUGAACGUUACUCGUCUGAUAUACAAAUCGACUCCUUCUGUUUUAGAAGGUUAGUUAUCAUUCAUCUUUUAUUUUUCGACGUAUCUUUGCUUAUUGUAUUGUUAGCAAAUUUGUCUUUGUUCGUUUGAUAUUUUGGCAGAUUCUG